GCCCACCUCCUAAGGUGCCCAAGCCUCUUCCAAGGGCCACUUGGGGGUGUAAGAACACGUUUUAGAGCCAUUGAAUCUGCGCAUUCGCUCAAACGAUCUCGAGGAGCGAGGAGCGACAGAAGGCAGAGGCCUUAGGCAGAAGGCGACCUUGUGUGCGCAACUCACCUCGACAACUGCUUCUCUCAGGGAUGGCAGAACCGGAAAAGCUGUCACUCUCCGAUGUGACUGUGGAGUUCUCCUGGGAGGAGCUGCAGUUGCUAGACGCUGAUAAAUGGAAGCUGUACCAAGAGGUGACCCAGGAGAUCUACAAGAACUUCAUGUUCGUGGUGUCUCAUAGAUCCAAGCGUCGCCGCUCCGCAGGGAAAACCGAGGGAGAAGCUGAGGGAGAAGCUGUGCCUUCCAAGCGGCAGCGACAGCCCACAUCAGACUAGUCCAGAUUCUCCAGAUGGUAACGUGCGGUGGAGAAAUCGACGUGGGUCCCAUCUACACAGCUUAUGCUGAUCUCACCAGUUUCCUGCGCAUUCGUUUCAGUUUCUUCCCCUCAGUUAUGUCCAGGUUCAAGAUGGUUCCAUCCCCCGAAGCUCCCUCUUCUCCUCCUUGCAGCAGAACAGGCCCACGCACCCCACCGCCCUAGGCCCUGGAAGCCCUCAGUGGCUACUGUUUGAGUUCGUUGUAGAAAUAAAACAAUAC